UACGGAGGUCGCGACCGUUAAUCGGAAUAACUGGGCGUAAAGGGUGCGUAGGUGGUCUGAUAAGUUAUCUGUAAAAUCCCUGGGCUUAACCUGGGCAGGUCAGAUAAUACUGUUGGACUCGAGUAUGGGAGAGGGUAGUGGAAUUUCCGGUGUAGCGGUGAAAUGCGUAGAGAUCGGAAGGAACACCGGUGGCGAAGGCGGCUACCUGGCCUAAUACUGACACUGAGGCACGAAAGCGUGGGGAGCAAACAGG
rnacentral:rRNA from 1 species